UACGGAGGGGGCUAGCGUUGUUCGGAAUUACUGGGCGGAAAGCGCUCGUAGGCGGCUUUGCAAGUCAGAGGUGAAAGCCCGGGGCUCAACCCCGGAAUUGCCUUUGAGACUGCAUCGCUAGAAUUGUGGAGAGGUAAGUGGAAUUCCGAGUGUAGAGGUGAAAUUCGUAGAUAUUCGGAAGAACACCAGUGGCGAAGGCGACUUACUGGACACAUAUUGACGCUGAGGUGCGAAAGCGUGGGAAGCAAACAGG
rnacentral:rRNA from 1 species